GUGAUUCUAUAAACUUCCCUAAAUGUCUUCAUCAACCAUGUGAAUUACCUGUUUCUGGAGGUUGAUUUCUACUUUUUUAGUUUUCUUACUCAUGUGGUCGGUUUUUCAGUUUUGAUCUCAUUCUAAAAUAGAUACAUGGUAACUGGUCAGAUAUAUUUUUAUAUAGCACAGGAUUCUUGACAGACAUGUCAAACUGAACUGACAUUUUGCCCAUUUUAAGUGCCUACAGACAUAGUGAAAUGGCCCUGUUCAUCUUCAUAACAUUUUAUCUUUUACUGGAGGUUAAAUUGCAAGGUUUGGCCACCAUGUCGUCUUUGCCACCAAUCACAGAGGGCAGCCCAACUACAGUGAUUCCCAAUGGAACCUUACAAGUGAAUUUGUCCACUGCAUCAACAGUGAACACAACAUUUUUGGGUGUAACAUCCACUACUGAGUCUGAAAUCACAACAGACCUGAUAACCAAUAUGUCAAGUCUAAGUUCCCAAGACAACCAUAGUUUAAAAGAUCCUGCAAACGCAUCCUUAGAAUCGACUACACUUACUGAUAAUACAGAACGUGCUUCAGUUUUCCCCUUGAUGACUAAAGGCCCUGAAAUCAGAAAGUACUCAAAUACAAAAAUGUUCUUCCUCAUUGCUGUGGUUGCAUCUGGUGGAGGAAUUGUACUGACUGGACUCGUGGGCACCUGUUUGUACAGACGUACACGAAAGUCAAAGGCAGAGAGGAUUUGGAUCGAAUCGAGCAGCAAAAAACACAAACAGGGACAUUCUUUACCAGUGGCCAGUUCAGACUCAUCUGGAGAGGAAGAUACAGUGCUUUACUCAACCAUCAACUUCAUUCAACCCCCCUCUCAACCACCAGGAAACAAUGAAGAAUCAAUUCAAAAUGAGGUUGAACUGAAUCAUUUGUAUUACACCGUCAUAACCAAACCGGCAAUCUCCAGUGACAGCAGGAGUGUUUACAGUCAGCUGAAGGUCCACUGAAAGAAUACAACUCUGCAUGCUGCUGUUUUAAUGCAGGCCAAAAUUGAUGCAUCUUAAUUUUAAACAUGCUUUAAUCCUCCAUAGCAAUGCCUUUUAUUGUAAAUGUUAAACUUCUGCUUUCUAAUUUCAAUGUUGUAACACCUUUCAAAACUGUGUCAUAAACUUUCUUUCUGAUUUCGGUUUACUUGUAUUUUCUGUAGAUUCACAUGAACAAAAUAACCACAUCAGAAGGCACACAGCAUGAAUAUGCAUACUUUUAAGCAAUAAUAAUUGUUAUUGUGAAUGGCAGUUGUAUAGAUCAACAUAAGGACAGUCAUAUUUCCUCCUGUUACUUGUGUAAAUAUUUUCACCUGAUGUUUAUUAUUUUAAGCGCUUCAUUUUUAUGUUUCUCUUUUUGUUCCUUUUGUACUUUUCCGCUGUUCCUCAAAGUUAUGUCUAAAAUCUCUUUGAAGCCUGGAGUAAUGGCUGCUGAAAAUCCCACUUUGUCAUCACAGGAAUAAAAUAUAUUCAAAUAGAAAACUGUUAUUUUGA
ensembl:lncRNA